AAAAAGAAUGGGAUCCGGAAUGGGCUUUGUGGAAACGGUUGUGCAUUAACGUCUUCUGCACACAGCCAUUAAUGCAGACGACCAUUUGUUUGGAAAAAUAGUUAAAAUUAGGCAUUUUUCUUUCUUCUCAUACUCGUUUUUCCGGAGUUCCCAAUUCCAAACGGACUCUCUCUCUCUCUCUCCCUUCAAAUCCCUUCGUUCCUCUCGCACCCUACGAUCCCUCUCUCAUCACUACAACCAUUGGUGUCGCCGACGACGAUUGCAGACGAGUGUGGGGUGUAUGUGUGGUGGGGGUGGAGGUGGGGGCAAUUUAUCCCCUUUUCCUUGAUGUGUUGACAUGUUGUGCCAGUAGGUUAAGAUUUGGUGAAUAUUUCCAGUCGGGUUGAUUUGAGUUGAGUUAUGGGUAUGGGUGAAUGGGGUAGGGUUUGUCCAAGUGUAAAACUCCAGAUCACCUUCAUUUUAGUAGCCUACACCACGUAGCAUGGUCACGGACACGGGAGUUUUUAAAAAUGGGGACACAGAUAGGGUGUGUGUAUAAAUAUCAGAUAUCUAUGCAUAUAUUGCUCAAAUAAGACAUAACAAAACUAGCUUAUAUUAUACCAUAGUUAUGUAGGUAUAUUCCUAAUUUAUAUGCUGAUAUAUACAACUAUACAUAUAUAGUGUUAUUAUAGGACUAUUUUUUACAUUUAAAGCAUGUGUUAAUAGUGUGGCACUUUAUCAACUAGCGUUGUACCCAUUUGAUGCGCGAGAUAGAAAAAUUUUAUUUUUUCCUAUUGUCCUGUGCAUUGAACGGGUACAACGCUAGUUGUUAAUAAGGAAGAAACUAAUCAAGAGGUGUGUGGAGUUUGUAGACUAAUUUUUUGUGAGAAACUCGCCAAUAAAUGUAAAAAGAAAGUAGCUAGCCAUGCGGCUUUUUUUUUAUAUCAAAUUGAAAUUUCGUAAGAAAUGAUACAUUGAAACUAUACAACAUGAAAUAUACAGAAAUAAGUGUGAGAGCAAGGAACCUCUUUAAAAAAAUCGAACGGGCAGAUGUGCACAUAUUAGCGUUGUGCAUCACAUGUGAUUUUUGUUGAAAAUAUUUGAUUUCUUCUUGAUUUUUUUAUGAAUCUAGUACUUAAUGAGUCUAUGACAAACACUUGCCUUUCCAAAAAAAAGGUAUGACACACACUUUCCCCACUUCCCCAUGUCUCUCUCUCUCUCUCUCUCUCUCUUCAGUUCCCCCACUUCGCCUCCCCCUUUCUCUCAUAAUUUCAAAAAAAUAAAAAUUCUUAAAAAUUAGGAAUGGGAGUUUAGUGGCUUGAGAAGCCCCACUACAUUUUUAGUGGAUGUUCAUGCUAAUUACUUAACUGAUAUGAUCACCCUAAUGUUGAUGGUAAUUACAUUUGUGUUACCUUGUUCUUGUACCCUAUUGUUGAUUUGUAUUACCAUUUCUCCUCAGUGUGCCUCAUGGCCAUUUGAAGGGAUAGAAAGUCCACCAUGCCAGUCUCAGGUGUAUGAAUAUAUGAAGCAUGAAUGGUAGAUGGAUCUUUUUCACGGUAAGGCAUCAUGACAUGGCGGUUCUUGGGGGUUGUCUCUGUUUGGCUGUUUAGUGACAAAAUUGAAGUUUGGGUGAUGAAGAAGUAUGGGGUAAGAGAGUCAUGGACCAAAUUUACGAUUGUUGAUCAUGGGAUAGAGAGUCGUGGACCAAGUUUGGGUGAUGAGAUGGAUCUUAUUUAGAUCAUUGUGACUAUGUAUUCAAUCUGCUCUUGCCUAUCUCAUCCCUUUUCCUUUUUUUUUUUUCUCUCUUCUUCACGACUUUCCUUAGCACGAAUGGUAGAUGGAUCUUUUUCACGGUAAGGCAUCAUGACAUGGCGGUUCUUGGGGGUUGUCUCUGUUUGGCUGUUUAGUGACAAAAUUGAAGUUUGGGUGAUGAAGAAGUAUGAGGUAAGAGAGUGGUGGACCAAAUUUACGAUUGUUGAUCAUGGGAUAUCUAUAAAGAAUGUGUUGUGUUUGUUAGCGGAAGACAAAUUUUUGUUGUAAUUAGAUGGAAAGAUCGUAGAUGUUAACAGAGGAAGGAUGGUAGACAAAUUUGACGAAGAGAAACUAUUUCUGUACCCCCCGAAAAAUGAAACACUGAGGGAGAUAAUGGUUUGUGGCAUUCCAUCGAAGUAUAGAUUGGACAGCCCCUCAUAUCUCCUAAUCAUGGAGGACGGAUCAGGAGACAAUGUGGAGUUUCUUCAGCUGAUAUGCUCUUCUGCACUUCAUCUUCUAGCCCUUUUGAUGGGUACAAGAAAUAAAUUUGGGGAUAGGCUACUUUACACAUCAGACUAGAUUCCAUCAGCACCACAUAGCCUGUUGUACGGGUCUCACGGAGUUAGGAAACCGGCGCUUUGUGGAAUGGCGUCAUUGGGGCGAUACAUUGGCGCUUCCUCCAAUGCCGAGUCUGCAGUUGAAGCUCACUCGGAUCUGUCGCUCUGUACUCUCAAUUGCUUGUCGUGUCCCUGUGAAUUGUGCUCUCGCCAUUUUAUUCCUUUACUCAGUAUACAUGCUGAGUUUUUCAAUUUGCUAGACGGUUUGUGUGUGUAUUGCCAGAAUUUUGAAUGCUAACUGAGUAAUUUUCUUUCAAUCUAGAGAUCUUGAAAUGUUUUAGUUAGUGCUUUUCGAUGACUACAGAGUUAUGAGGAUUUGAAUUCCUCUGAACUUUGUACUAUUUGACCUGUUUUUAGUAUGUUUUGUAUGCUUUAGAGCUGCUAUUAGUCGGAUUUUGUGCUUUGUUGUGGUGGAAAAUGAGGAAGUGAUCAGAAACGGCAAACAAUGCUUUGUAGAGUUGAACGACCUAUAUUCUCCA